GCUUUAUGUGAUGAUGAGAUAAUAGCAUAUCUUCUGGCUGGCCUUGGCUUAGACUAUGAUUCUUUUGUCACAUCGAUGACCACUAGAUCUGAAACCAUUACAUUGGAUGAUGUAUUUGCCCACCUCAUGGC
rnacentral:snoRNA from 1 species